rnacentral:rRNA from 2 species
AAUACAUGCAAGUCGAGCGAACUGAUUAGAAGCUUGCUUCUAUGACGUUAGCGGCGGACGGGUGAGUAACACGUGGGCAACCUGCCUGUAAGACUGGGAUAACUUCGGGAAACCGAAGCUAAUACCGGAUAGGAUCUUCUCCUUCAUGGGAGAUGAUUGAAAGAUGGUUUCGGCUAUCACUUACAGAUGGGCCCGCGGUGCAUUAGCUAGUUGGUGAGGUAACGGCUCACCAAGGCAACGAUGCAUAGCCGACCUGAGAGGGUGAUCGGCCACACUGGGACUGAGACACGGCCCAGACUCCUACGGGAGGCAGCAGUAGGGAAUCUUCCGCAAUGGACGAAAGUCUGACGGAGCAACGCCGCGUGAGUGAUGAAGGCUUUCGGGUCGUAAAACUCUGUUGUUAGGGAAGAACAAGUACGAGAGUAACUGCUCGUACCUUGACGGUACCUAACCAGAAAGCCACGGCUAACUACGUGCCAGCAGCCGCGGUAAUACGUAGGUGGCAAGCGUUAUCCGGAAUUAUUGGGCGUAAAGCGCGCGCAGGCGGUUUCUUAAGUCUGAUGUGAAAGCCCACGGCUCAACCGUGGAGGGUCAUUGGAAACUGGGGAACUUGAGUGCAGAAGAGAAAAGCGGAAUUCCACGUGUAGCGGUGAAAUGCGUAGAGAUGUGGAGGAACACCAGUGGCGAAGGCGGCUUUUUGGUCUGUAACUGACGCUGAGGCGCGA